rnacentral:rRNA from 1 species
UACAGAGGGUGCGAGCGUUAAUCGGAUUUUACUGGGCGUAAAGCGUACGUAGGCGGCUUUUUAAGUCGGAUGUGAAAUCCCUGAGCUUAACUUAGGAAUUGCAUUCGAUACUGGUUGGCUAGAGUAUGGGAGAGGAUGGUAGAAUUCCAGGUGUAGCGGUGAAAUGCGUAGAGAUCUGGAGGAAUACCGAUGGCGAAGGCAGCCAUCUGGCCUAAUACUGACACUGAGGCACGAAAGCAUGGGGAGCAAACAGG